AUUAUCAUUACCAACAUGCACUCAGUCAAGAGAUAUUUAGUGAGGGCUGACUGCAUGCCUCACACUAUUCUAGGCAGUGGGGAUGCAACGGUGAAGCCGAGGACAAGGCCCCCAUGCGAAGGAAACAGGGAGCAGAUCUGCAGAGAUGAAAUGCCAGGGUUGGCCGGGAAUUCCAUACCCGACCUGAAUCCAUAUCUACCGGACCCCACAUCUGCCGUCCGACCCAAUGAGGGAGAUAAUAGUUGGCACCGAUGCUCUUUCCUCAUGAUCACAAAAUGGCUAUUACCGUUAUGAACGUACAUCUUUAUGCCACGAUCUCCAGGAGUAGAGAGAAGGGUGUGAAUGACCUCAUCAACAUCCUUCCGCCUCUGAGAGAAGAGCUGCUGGAGACUCCUGGAUGUCUGGCCCAAAGCUGGAGGCUCUGAAAGGGCUGAGAGAUGAUUUGGAAGAUACCAUUUGACUGCUUUUUACUGACGUGACCAUAUGUCUACCCGGAGAUUGGAGACCUUGGACAGCUGGAGGUAGGCAUGAGGGUAAAAGGGAGGGAGACAUACCAUGGCUCCCCCCAGCUGCUGUGUGCUGUGGCCUCCUCCACAGCCCCCAGGAACUGAAGUGAAGGAUUCAAAAUCAGCUGGGGACUUUAUUAAACUUCAUAAUCAUGGAUCCUAUCCUCAGAGACUUCAAAUCUGCAAUAGCUUAGCCUAAGGUUCUGGAGCCUGCAUUUUAAUCAACACUCAAAGUGCUACUAAUGCAGGAUUCAAAGUGGCUCACACAAUAUAGACAUAUAUUUAAAAAUUUAGGGGAGAAGAGUUCCCUCUGUGGCGCAGUGUUGUUUGUGUGUUGGUGAGGUUCAAUCCCCAGCCUGGCACAUUGGGUUAAGGAUCUGAUGUUGCGGCUGGGAUUUGAUCCUUGGCCCAUAUGCUGGGCCAUAUGCUGUGGAUGCAGCCAGAUAGAUAGAUAGAUAGAUAAUAAAGGUAAGACAACCCUUUGAGAAACAUUGGCCUUAAAAACAAUGCAUAGAACAGAAGCCAGCUAUAUGGAUGUUUAGUAAUGGCUAUGGCUUUGUUGAAAGGUGAUCUGGCAUUUGCCUUCAGCCUGUACUAAGAAAUCGUAACAGAAAUUGAGUUAGAAACUCGUUGUAUUUGCUAAAGGGCUAUUGCAGAGGACUCAGCCUACCAUAUGACAGAACUUCCCCUCUGGGGAUCCAUGGGUCAGUGUUCUUGCAUCCCGGUGCUGGGAGACCUGUGCUUCUCUUUACUAACUGGUUUGCUCUUGUCUAAUGGAAUGUGGCAAUCUCCUAACUGAUCCAUUGUUUUUCCUGGGAAUCAUGGCUAAAUUGGUGGCUCACCCCCAGCAACUAGAAUUUGCACUGUGUAACCAUCACUACCUGCCACUCCCAGGCUUCAUAUUAGUCUCUUACCUUUUGUUUUCCCUUCAUGGUUUGUUACUAUUUUUUAAAAUAUUUUUUGAGGUAAAAUUCAUGUAACAUAAGAUUUUCCAUUUUAACUAUUUUAAACUGUUCAGCUCAGUGGCUUUUUAAAAUUUUUACUUAAUUAAUUAAUUAAUUUGUUUUUCAGUGACCUUUUUUUUAAAUAUUUUUUUUAUAGCUGCAACAUAUGGAAGUACCUGGGCCAGGGAUCAAAUCAGAGCCGCAUCUGUGACCUAUGCCACAGCUUGUGACAACAAGGAUUCUUAAACCACUGAGAGAGGCCAGGGAUAGAACCCAUAUCCUCACAGAGACAAUAUUGGGUCUGUAACCUGUUGAAUCACAAUGGGAACUCCUCAGUGGCUUUUAGUACAUUCACAGUGUUGUGAAACCAUCAGCACUAAGUCCAGAAUAUUUUUAUUACCCUAAAAA
ensembl:lncRNA